CAGAUAACUCCGAAUGCCAUUGWUUACUCGGAGUCACACGGUGAGUGAUAAGAUCCAUCGUGGAAGGACAGCCAGAUCAUCAGCUAAGGUCCCUAAAUAUAUGCUAAGUGGAAAAGGAUGUGGAAUUGCACAGACAACUAGGAUGUUGGCUCAGAAGCGGCCAUCAUUUAAAGAGUGCGUAAUAGCUCACUAGUCGAGUGACUCUGCGCCGAAAUGUACCGGGCUAAGCAUAUUACCGAAGCUAUGGAUGCAUCCAUCAGGAUGCGUGGUAGGAGAGCGUUCCAAGGGCGAUGAAGUCAGACCGUAAGGACUGGUGGAGCGCUUGGAAGUGAGAAUGCCGGUAUGAGUAGCGAAAGACAGGUGAGAAUCCUGUCCACCGAAUGACUAAGGUUUCCUGGGGAAGGCUCGUCCUCCCAGGGUUAGUCGGGACCUAAGUCGAGGCCGAGAGGCGUAGACGAUGGACAACAGGUUGAUAUUCCUGUACCAGUUGAUUGUGCUUGAGUGAUGGAGUGACGCAGAAGGCUAAGCGAUCCGGACGAUUGGAAGUGUCCGGCCAAGCAGCAAGUCAGUUGAUGAGUCAAAUGCUUAUCAGCGAGUUGACAAGCUGUGAUGGGGAGCGAAAUUAUAGUAGCGAAGUCGUUGAUGUCACGCUGCCGAGAAAAGCUUCUAGCGAAUAAUCAACUGCCCGUACCGCAAACCGACACAGGUAGUCGAGGAGAGUAUCCUAAGGUGAGCGAGCGAACUCUCGUUAAGGAACUCGGCAAAAUGACCCCGUAACUUCGGGAGAAGGGGUGCUGAUCGCAAGAUCAGCCGCAGUGAAAAGGCCCAGGCGACUGUUUAUCAAAAACACAGGUUUCUGCAAAAUCGUAAGAUGAAGUAUAGGGGCUGACGCCUGCCCGGUGCUGGAAGGUUAAAAGGAAGAGUUAGCUUCGGCGAAGCCCUGAAUUGAAGCCCCAGUAAACGGCGGCCGUAACUAUAACGGUCCUAAGGUAGCGAAAUUCCUUGUCGGGUAAGUUCCGACCCGCACGAAAGGCGUAACGAUCUGGGCACUGUCUCAACGAGAGACUCGGUGAAAUUGAAUUGCCUGUGAGGAUGCRGGCUACCCGCGACAGGACGGAAAGACCCCAUGGAGCUUUACUGUAGCUUGAUAUUGAGUGCUUGUACUGCUUGUACAGGAUAGGUAGGAGCCAUAGAAGCCAGGACGCUAGUUUUGGCAGAGGCGUUGGUGGGAUACUACCCUUGCAUUAUGAUCACUCUAAACCCGCACCACUGAUCGUGGUGGGAGACAGUGUCAGGUGGGCAGUUUGACUGGGCGGUCGCCUCCCAAAGAUAACGGAGGCGCCAAGGUUCGCUCAGAAUG
rnacentral:rRNA from 1 species